UACGAAGGGGGCUAGCGUUGCUCGGAAUCACUGGGCGUAAAGGGUGCGUAGGCGGGUCUUUAAGUCGGGGGUGAAAUCCUGGAGCUCAACUCCAGAACUGCCUUCGAUACUGGCGAUCUUGAGUCCGGAAGAGGUGAGUGGAACUCCUAGUGUAGAGGUGGAAUUCGUAGAUAUUAGGAAGAACACCAGUGGCGAAGGCGGCUCACUGGUCCGGUACUGACGCUGAGGUGCGAAAGCGUGGGGAGCGAACAGG
rnacentral:rRNA from 1 species